rnacentral:rRNA from 1 species
UACGUAGGUGGCAAGCGUUGUCCGGAUUUACUGGGCGUAAAGGGCGUGUAGGCGGUCCGCUAAGUCUGAUGUGAAAGCCCGGGGCUUACCCCCGGAAGGGCAUUGGAAACUGGCGGACUCGAGUCCCGGAGAGGAAGGUGGAAUUCCUGGUGUAGCGGUGGAAUGCGCAGAUAUCAGGAAGAACACCAACGGCGAAGGCAGCUCGCUAGGACGGUACUGACGCUGAGACGCGAAAGCGUGGGGAGCGAACAGG